rnacentral:rRNA from 1 species
UACGUAGGGUGCAAGCGUUGUUCGGAAUCAUUGGGCGUAAAGCGCGUGUAGGUGGUUAUGCAAGUUGGAUGUGAAAUCCCUGGGCUCAACCGAGGAAGUGCAUCCAAAACUAUAUGGCUAGAGGACGGUAGAGGAAGGUGGAAUUCCUAGUGUAGAGGUGAAAUUCGUAGAUAUUAGGAGGAAUACCGGUGGCGAAGGCGGCCUUCUGGGCCGUUCCUGACACUGAGACGCGAAAGCGUGGGGAGCAAACAGG